rnacentral:lncRNA from 1 species
AUAUCCUACAGAUUUGUAAUUUCAUAUUGUGAACUAGCACCGCAACAAAAUAUUUACAUGUAUAUUGCAUAGUAUUUCUAAAUGCUUACAAAUUGGUAGGAUUAGCUAUUAUAUUGCAGUGUAAACCUCCUUCUGAAUGAAUGAAGCCGAGUGGUAUCUCCCACAAAUGUGAAGAACUUGUUGGAAUCAAUGCUUUUCUCUGAAACUUUAGCCCUUACCAAAGACAAAAUCUUCGAUUAAUGACUCAAGUCCACUAAAACAAGUCUAGAAUUUCCAAGCUUAUUCCUAAAUUCUAUAGCUUUAUCAACAAUAAUAUCAGAUGCCUUUGCAAGGUCAAAUUGAAAAUCUGCUGUUGAAAUGAAAGGAAAUGCUAGAGUGGAAACAUCGUUUAGAGAACCAUCACCGCUAACAGAGCCUACAGCUAGCUCUUCACCUUCCUUUGACUCCUUACCAGAUUUUUCAGAAAGUGAACCUGUUCCUUUCAAAGAGGUUUCCUUUUCUUCAGUAAUUUGAGAAGCAUUAGAAUCCUGUACACUCUUCGAAGUUGAUUCAGUAUUAGCAGGACCAUCGGUUUUCCUUAAGAACAUUAUACCUAGUUGAAUUUUUGCACCGGGGUUCUUCUGACCGAAAUAACCAUUGGGAAGUGUAUCUAACGGACCAAGUCCACGAAUGCAUCAACAGAAGAUUGAACAUCACUCUCACUCUGGCAAUAAGUAAUUCUAGCAAACCCUUCACUCAGCUAAGGCAAUUCUUUCUUCUGCAGCAUUCUAUUCACAAUCGCCGCAGCUUUCCCGCCUUGCACAUUUCCUUCAUGGCCCGUUCGCUUCACAUACCGCAAUAUACAAAGCUUGGCAGGAAGAUCAAGCACCACAACAUGAACAAACUUGGGAACUACCACCAAGCUUCACAAAAUCAUCCCUUUGUUCUUCCUCUACAUUACACCUAUCUAUAAACACACUCUUCUCAUCCUUCAACGCAUUCAUUGCACUCUCUAUACACUGCCCUUUCGUUCGGGCUUUACCAUUUUUGAUAGUAUCCUACAAAAACAAAAAAUAUGAACAUAUAACAGCAUAAAACAAGAACCCAAAUGAAUAGAAAUCCGGAGUACCAUACUACGUACUGAAAAUAGCAAUCUAGAGCCCACUGCGACAUUUCAUCGAACACACUGUGUCCACAGAGAUAUACCUGGCAAACGCAAACACAAGGGCGAGUGGAGCGCAUGACAUGUUCGCAGAAGGUAGACAUGUUCGCAGAAGGUGAUGCGUAAAAUAACUAAACACACAAAAUUAAACCCUCUUUUUAUCAAUUGUAGUAAAGUAUGUAAGUAGGGAUCGUUCUAGGCCGGGGAUUAGGAGGGAUUGCUAAAUCACUUGGAAACUGACUUGAAAACGUAAAAACAAAGUUUAAAACACUAACUAGACUCAAAGAAUGCAAAACUAUACUUUAAAACACUAAAACAAACCAAAAGACUCAAAACAGCCCCUAAACACUCAAAACUACCUUAAACACACAAUCUGGGCAGUUUUGGGACUCUAACACAAACUUGGACGAAUUUUGGUUUUCUAAUGAACUAAACACUUAAAAACAUAAUCUAAGACAAGUUCUAUUUUAAUAUGACUCAAAGAAAUAAGAUGGGGUUGAUUUUGGACAAAAAUAAUUAAAUUAAGACAAGAACAAAGUAAACGAAUUCUUAGACAAAUUUAAGUGAAUCAAAACAAAUUGUAAAAUGAAUUUGAAUGAAACUUAUGGAUGGAAGGCUAGCUAGGAGGUUCUUCUCCACACAUGUCACACUUGCAUACAAAACGAUUUCCAGUUGCUUUUCGAUAAGCUAUGAAUACUCAACGCCCCAAAUUAACCGUGAAUUGCACUAAUUAACCCUCAGUUUUUCCACAAGUUAUUAGGUUGGAUGAUCGCAUACGACAACCCAAAACAUUCCCUACAAGUUCCCUACAUGAAUUGCAUAAUAGAGAUACAAGCAAGAAUCAUUAAGUUCUAUGAAAAACAUAAGCAUUGACGAGGCACUCGUUACUAUGAUUUGCAUGAAACUUAUGCCAAGAAUUUACUUAACGUGAUUGUGACUAGCAACCUUCACUACUUGUGAAUAUAAGUUCAUAACGAUUAGGUGAAACUCCCUUAUAUUCUAGCGUCAAAUUCAUGCAUGAAAAUUAAGCGUGCACUCUCAACCAACAUACACAAAUCAGUUUUUAUACGAACGGAUAAGUAAAUUGAAUUCACAACUUAUGAAUCACAACUGGAUGUAAUCAAAUCAUAUUGCAAGUAUGAACAUAGUUUCGAAUCACCCCUAACUAAGAGGGGUUUAGUUCCUCAUACUCACAAAACAAAGAUACAUAAAAUUAGACAUUAAAAUCAAAGGAAAGAAAACACCUAAAAUGCUCCAACUUGGUAGCAAGUGCAUCCAAGAUUCCUCCUUUCCCUAUGCUUGCGGCAGAUUGGGUUAUGGACAGAUUUUGGGUAGUUUUAUGAUGUAGAAUGGAUGGGGAAUGGUAUGGAAGGGUUUAGGGUGAGUGUGGAGGAGUGUUUGAGGGUUGGAGGGUGGUGGAGAACUAGGCAAAGAGGGUGGAAGAAGGUGGAGUGGCUGUUAUGUUUUCUAGGCACUAGAAUGGUGUUUUUUGGGGUGUUUUGCUUCCUAGGGUGUGUAUGGACGAAUUUUUGUGAUAAAAUGAUGAAUAUGGGGGAUUGUUCUUUGGCCAAGGGGUGUAAACAUGUAUUUAUAGGCCCCCAAAAACCUUAGAAAAUCAGGUUAGGUUAAGGAUGAAAUGCAUGGCAAUUUGUGUGUGUGGUGUGCAAUGGUCCAAGGGUGAAAAUGAAGUAAUGAUGCAAAGUGUGAAGGGUAAAAUGGAGUGGUGUUGUAGCUAGGGAGCAUGAAUGAUUGUGUACAUUGCAUAGAGAUGGAAAGGGAGGUGAAAUGUGUCAACAAAUGGGUCAAAGGUGCAACAACAUGUGUUACACAUGGCAUUGGAUUCCAAAUGUGAAUGAUGGAGCAUCAAUUGGUGCAUGUAAUGGAUGUAAAUGUUGUCUAAAAUCUAAUGAGUGAAGGGAACAAGAGGUAUCAAGCAAUUGAGUGUAAUAAUUAAAUAAAUUGAAGCAUGAAAUUAGAAAUUAUGUAGGGGACAAGAGUGAUUAAGCAUGGCAUGGAAUCCAAAGGGAAUUCUAUGUGGUUUGCAUGGCAAGGAAUGCAAGUUGGGGUGACAGAUUUUUGGGCUGUUUUCUUCAUCUUUUGGACCAUAAUUCUUCAUAUUCUUGGCCUCUUUAGUUCUCAAAUUCGUCCAUCCACUUGGCCCAUGCAUUUGACAUCCAUUCCAAGCCCCAUUUUGCUCCAAAAUGCAUCUUCUUGCCUACUUUGUCCAUAAAAUCUGAAAACACACGAAAAUGACUUUAAACAUUAAAAUAACUAAGGAAACACGACAUAAAUGCACAAUAACAAGCCAACUAAGUCGCAUAAAUAUGCUCCUAUCAGAAGGUAGACAUGCCGCUUCCAGGCCCACCUACCAAUAUUACUACGACAGGCUUUCCUUGUUUUUCUUCCCCCGUCAAAAACGCAUACAGGUUUUAUGAUCACCGAAGGCGGCGACGACCGAGAAUGGUAAAACGCGGCGUUUUGGAGAAAGGGCAUACCUUUGACUGUUUCGUCGAUGUCCAUGUCCAUGUUUUGGAAGACUCUGCGAGGCACUUUUGAAUUAACAGCGGAAAAGCAACGGUUUCUUCUUCCACUGGGCUGGAAGCCUGAAGCUUCUAUUGCCGGUGCCUGGUGCUUGCGUAAUGGGACACAUGUCACACAUCGUCGACCCGAAAAUUGACAAGAUCCGAUUCGAUUUGGAUUUUAUCCGUAUUUUAGCCUUCUCGCAAGUGCUAAUGCGUAAAUGAGAAGUAUUUUAUAAUCACGGGCCUUACGAGCGCCCUUUAAAGAUGGGUUUGCUUUAAUUAUUGUUCUAAUUGUUUAACAUUGUUAUUUCGUAAGAAAUUUGCGAGGGCAUUUUCUUAUGAUAUUAGGUAUUUCAAUCAUCUUCCUGUGAUAAUUUUUUCUAUAAUUAUGUUAAAGCCCUCCGUAUUCCGGUAACCUACAACAUGGUAAAUCUAUAGAAAUUAUAAACUUGAUAAUUACGUUUAUAGCACAAAAGCCUAUACAUACAAUCGUGUUUACUUGGUGUACAAGUAAGGAUCUCUUCAAUUUCUUGAUAGCGAUUUUACCACUUGUAAAACAAAGGGUUAAACCAUAGAAAAUUCUUGCAAGAGAACAAGUGUUUGUAGUAUAGAAUGGCUCAAGCAAUGUCGAUCUCCUCAGGGACUGAUAUAAACAAUUUACGAGUUUUUGUGUAUUUAACUUAUUUAACUUUAAGAAUUACACUAAUUUGACGAAACUAAAUAUUACUGGAUGUGACUUAACCAAAUAUCUAACAUGGGAAUUGGUUUAUAGGAACAGUGAUUCAACUUAAACAAAACAAGUAAAUGAGGAAAUUUAAGAUAAAAUAACUGAUUGAAGAAAAAUAGAUUGACAAUAUGCUAGAGUUCAACCUUUACCAACAACACUCCUACGUAGCUAUUCCAAUUGCUUAAAUAAUUGAAAACACACAUGCUUUGAAGGUUGGAAUUUCCUUGUGUAUGUUUUACUUGUGACAUUCAAGUUAAAACGCAUACCACUACAUGCAACUUAUCCAUGACAUUUGGAUUAAAUAUAAACAUGAGUGAUUCAUUAAUCUUGGUGAAAAUCCUUUUGUUAAACCAUGUAAUCCCUAAGAGCAUGAUAUUUACCUUAGGAGAGUACAAUCCUCAAUCACAAGAAGCACAACCAAUUUUAACAUGACAUUCGUUCAAAAUUGCAUCCGAUAACUUUUUAAGCAUCCUAAUGGUGAUCAAGCAUCAAGGUACAUAGAUAGUUUAAUUCAGUGAUUGAAAAUAUCAAAGCAAGCAUGUAACAACACUUAAGCAAUUGAAAAAUAAAUCUACGUAUUCAUGUUGCGGCUCAUGGCCUCACUCUAACAAAAUAAAUUAGUUACACAUAAUUAUUUGAUACAUAAAAAAUUAUCCAUAAAACAAAAUAACAAAAAAAGAAAACAUCCGUUUUAACAAGACGAGCUCUCUGUUGCUCCUGACUUCCUCUGCUCUGCUGCGCCUCUUCUUCUUUGCUUCUGCUACACCUCUGCUUCUGUGCUCUGCUGCGCCUCUUUCUUUUCCUCCCGUCAGUCUCCCCCCUUUUUACUUUUUCUUUUCUUUUCUUUUCCUCUGGUUCCGUCUGCCCUCUGCUGCGCGUCCUUUCUCUUAUAUUUUUUUCUUCGUCCGUGCUCUGCCUUCCUUUCUCUCUGCCUAUUCUUUUCUUUUGUUUUUCUUCUGCCAGUCCCGCACUCCUCUCUGUCUAUUCUGUCAGUGUCUCCCCUCACUUUUAUUAUCUUGCUUUCCUUUUCUUAUUCCUUCCAUUUUUCUUUGUCUGUGUCCCCCAUUUCCACUAAUCAGCUAUAUGCUUUUCUUUUUCUCCACCACAAAAGCUUAAUGGAAGACAAGUCCACUCUCCACUUGCCGUGUCUUUUAUUUGUUUUUACAAUUUCCUUUUCUCCAUUUUGCUUGAAAUUGAUCUUAAAACAAAUUUAACUACACAUUAACACAAGGUAAAAUAAAAAUGCCACAAUUUUAACACAAAGACUUUAUAAAUAGAUGGUAUAAAUGCAUGAAAUAUAUGAGUGAUCAAAUACCCCCAAACUUGCAUUUUUGCUAGUCCUCUAGUAAAACAAAACACAAAACAAAAACACUCAACUAAAACUAGACUCAACAACUUAGUAGCCAACUUCUAAAUUUCGAUUUCAGAGAUAAGUGCUAAUCAUGAAACAAACAACCAAGAACUAAUCAAGAGUUCAAAACAUCAUCCAAUAAUUAACCAAAUUUCCUUCAAACAAAACGUUGAAAUGCCAUGUGUGAGCUAACCAUGUCAAUGCAAUUCCAAACUCCUUUAAAUCAUCAUAUGCAAACAUGUGAGCUUCUCACAAGACAUACGCUCAUUCACUCAUAAGUUUUGGUUAAUGUGUUUCACUCAAGUGAUCUCAUUGUACAUGCCGCCAUAUGCUUGCUUGUCCACCUAACUCGCUUAUCAAUAUUUAAGUAAUACCUUGGAUAAAUAGGACUUUAUUACGGUUGUAAUGGGGCUAAAGGUGAUAGGCUAAUGAAAGAAAGGAUAUGGAAAUCAAAAAUUUUGAGAAAGUACACUUUGAUAGUUUUCCAACACCUCAAUAUCACACCACCUCAAAUUGAAAGCAAAAUAAUAAAACCUCAAGCACCAGUUACUCCCCAAAUUCAACUUCAAAAAGAAAUUUAUACUCUGCAGACACAUUUUCAACAAAUCAACACUCUCCAAUUUUCAUAUAUUUCGUUUUUUUUUUUUCAAUUGAAAGAAACAAAUCUGCAAAAGCUACAUCACCCAUCAAAUUCACAUUUCAUUGUAAUACACAUGCUCCAUCCAUCUUUCUACAUAAAUGAAACCCCCAAAAGCACAACCCAUGUAAUACUUUAUCAAAACAAUAAGGAAUCGAUUUUUGUGUAUGGGCUCAACUCCAAUAUUGGAGCAAGGUAAAGAGAUGUGGCUAACAAAGAAAUGGCUUAGUUAAAGGCUCAAUGGGCUACUACGGAUAAACAUAGCAUAUAAGGUAGGCAUGAAAGGCUCAAACGAUCCAAAGAUGACCUAUAUCACUUCCAAGUUAUUACAUGAAUUGAUUAAUGAAUCGAGUAGUAUAAAGCAAGUUCUAGAGAUACAUGUACAGUGAGAUCAUACGCACAAGAAGGAAUGAGAUUGAUGCAUAAUGGUUCAAUCAUGUAUAGGCUCAAAAACUCACAAGGUUUACAUAAUCUCACAUGAUUCACAUAUGAAACGCUAAAUCAUGCUCAAGUUUCACAUUGACAAGACUAGGCACAUUUAUUUUUCAAGUUGAUUUCUGGAAAUCACAGUUAACACAAAGACAACGAAAAGAACUUAGACUUCUUGAAAGUAAGAAGGAAAUUAAAAUCAAAUCUCAUCAUUGAAUUGAGAAGUAGCUACAAACAACAAUAAAAAUGCAAAAACUUUUUUUUUUAAUUAUUAUUAUUAUUUUUUAAUUUAAUAAUUUUUUUUUAUUUUUUAUUUUUUAACAAGAAGUAAACUAACGAAAUAUAUUUCCACCCAUAAACUUAAUUAUAGCAUUGUCCCCAAUGAUAAUGAAAGGAAUUUUGAACAAUAAGACAUAAAAAUGGAAGGAAAGAAAUAUAAAAUGAAAUAAAGACACAUAAAGAAAAGGAAAGAACACACCAAUUUGUGUAGGCGAGGAGAACAAAUGUGUGAGUAACCCGUGGGAUUAAGAAACUUUGCAGAAGUUGUGGUAGAGAGUUCCUUGGUUUCAAAUCAGACUCCUUUUGCUGGGUUGAUUUGAUUGUGCAGUCUGCAUUCUUCUCUGCUUGUUUCUUCUGCACCACGGGCAGGCACAAGGUAGCUGUGUUGGUCUGUUUCUUUCUUCAAUCUUUCCAAGUGCCCACCUCUUGCUUUCUUUCUCCUUGUCUCUAGCUGAGGAUGAAUUGGUAAAUUGUCUCCACAUGCUUCGAGGUAUCAUUUUCACUUCCCUUAUCUGUUCCCCAGGCAGAUGUGGUAGACGAAGAGGAAGCAUAAGAUGAUGAAGAUGAGUACUCGAGAGCAAGGCUAGGUAAGCAAUCAGGAAGGGGUUCCAGGCAGUUGGCUCCAGAUCGGAAGAUUGAUACCAAGUGCUGGCUGAUUGCUCUCUUUCUCCUUGUCGUAAAACAAAGACAAGGAGAAUGACAGGGAGAAAGCAUGAUAUGAGAUACUAUUGCUUUCAACCUUCAUGAUAUGAAAUACUUUUUCUUUGGAUGGGUUGUAUGCAGAGGUACCCCAAGGAAUAAGGAACACUGAGUGACUCGAGAGGGUUUGUUGGAAAGGCAUUCUCUGAGAAGAAAAAGGUUAUGUAUGUUUGCCUUGCCAUGGAGGAUGAAUGUCGACAUUUAUAGGAAAUAAUAACCGGUACUGUUCUUUCACUCUUGUCUGCCUUUCCGCUUAAUGAUAUUCAACAACUGAAAAAUCUCGAAAGACUUGAUCUUUCAUACAAUAGCUUGCUAAUUAAUUAUGACAGUCUCAACAACUUCAGUGGGUCAUUUCCUCAACUUUUCACAUUGAAAUUAGCUGCUGGAAAGUUGAGAACCUUUCCUGAUUUCUUGAGAAAUCAAUCAAUAUUAAGCACUUUGGACCUAUCUCUAAACUAGAUCCAUGAAAUACCCAACUGGAUUUGGAGGCUUAGUAAUCUUGGUGAAUUAAAUCUUUCUUGCAACUCUCUGGUAAAUCUACCAGGUCCUUUCCUCAAUCUUACUUCUCAUUUGUCUGUGCUUGACCUUCAUUCCAACCAGAUUCAGGGACCAAUUCCAAUGCUUCCACCAUCUGCCUAUUAUCUGGAUUACUCAAGAAAUAAUUUCAGCUCAAGCAUACCGGCAGACAUUGGUGAUUUCCUUGAUUGGACAGUGUUCUUCUCUCUUGCAAGUAAUCACAUCCACGGGAUCAUUCCAGAAUCAGUAUGCAACGUGACAGUUCUUCUAGUUCCUGAUCUGUCCAAUAAUUCCUUAAGUGGCAUGAUUCUCCAGUGCUUAACUGCAGGGAACAUGUCCCUUGCAGUACUUAAUUUAAGGAGAAACAAACUUUUUGGCACUCUUCCUGAUAAUUUUCCUGAGCACUGUAGUCUACAAACACUGGACCUCAAUGGCAAUGUGAUUGGUGGUCAGUUCCCAAAAUCUCUAGCCAACUGCACAAUGUUAGAGGCGUUAAACCUGGGAAACAAUCAAAUAACAGAUGUCUUUCCAUGCUUAUUGAAGAACAUAUCCAGCUUGCGUGUACUUGUGUUGCGUGUCAACAAAUUUUAUGAUCGCAUUGAAUGCCUCAAGACCAAUAGUGCCUGACCAAAGCUUCAAAUUAUUGACUUAGCUCGCAACAAUUUUACUGGCGAAAUCCCAGGAAGUUUAUUGAAAACGUGGCAAGCAAUGAUGGCUGACGAAGAUGGUGCCGUGUCAAAUAUUAAUUACCUCGGAAAUCUUCUAGACCACGACGCGGCAUACUAUCUGGAUACUGUAGCAGUUACCGUCAAAGGUGGAGAAAGAGAAUUGGUAAAGAUCUUAACAGGCUUCACCUCAAUUGACAUCUCCUGCAACAAUUUUAAUGGAUCAAUACCUGAGGAAGUGGGGAAGCUGGUAUCACUCUAUGCCCUGAACUUGUCCAGUAAUGCUCUCACAUGCGCAAUCCCAUCAUCAUUAGGUAAUCUACGACAACUUGAGUCCUUAGACCUUUCGGACAACAAAUUGAGAGGAACAAUUCCAUCACAACUUUCCAAACUUAAUUUCCUCUCAUUCCUAAAUCUGUCGAGCAAUCAACUUGUCGGGAAGAUUCCAACCGGCACUCAAAUUCAGUCUUUUUCAGCAGAUUCUUUCGCAGGCAAUAAGGGAUUAUAUGGGCCACCGUUAGAUGACGGAUCAGCAAGGUUGCCACCAACAUUCGAAGGCAAACAUUCUACUUCUGCGCACGGAAUUGAUUGGGAUCUGAUUGGUGCUGAAGUUGGAUUUAUUGUUGGCUUUGGAGUUGCGGUCGGGUCACUUGUGCUGUGCAAGAGAUGGAGUAAAUGGUAUUACAAAACAAUGUAUAAAAAUCCUUGUUAAGAUAUUCCCUCAGCUUGAAGAUAGAAUUGGUCCUCACCGAAGACAUGUCCACAUAAAUCAAAGGUUCGGACGCAUAAAUUAAUUAUCAUGGAGACCAAUGCAGCUGGACCUCAAGCUAUGCAUGGGGAACUUGAGAUCCAACAAAUAAGACGUUUGCUUUUUGGUUUUACCUUUUAAAGUUGUGUAUGUUCUAGUUAUAUUUGUAAUAGUUUAUUGUGUUAUCUUUAUGCUUUGUUUUCAAUAAACUUCCUCUUACCAUCGAGGUUCUUGAAGUUAGCGUAAUCUGAUAAACCCAAGAGUGUACUUUAUGUAAUGUAUUAUUUGUUCGAAUUGUGUAGUACGAUGUCCAGACCAACUCCACCCAAAAGUGUACUACAAAGAAAAUCUUGACUUCUGAAUUGCGAUAUGUUUUAACAUCUUGCCAUUCAAUUUUGAACUCAUCAUAUCCAGUACUACAACGCCUAAUGAUUUAUGUUUCAGAAUUUCCUCACCAACUUUUAUGUCUGAGAUCGUACCAAAAGACAAAAGCCAACCCUCUCAGGUAAGAACAAGAAAUGAAAAACUCAACCGCUUAUACAAAAUCAGCAAACCACGGUUCAAUCAGUAUUCUCCCUUUCAUGUCAGAGCACAAUGAAAUACUCAUCUGCUUUUACAAAAGUUGAGUCACUCGCCCAAUUUCAACUGGUUUUAGGAGGAACCUCAACUUCAAUUAUAGGACAAAAACUUCUAUCGUUUAAGACUUUUAGUUGACAAAUGCGAAGUAUUGAUCGCAAUGAUUAGGUCUUCCAUAUUAACACUUAACUACUAAAAGAUAGGAUUAACACUUAAUAGGAAUUGAAUUGGGCGUGUUCAGUCAACCCAAUAAAUUCUCCACACAGCAGACUAAAGUAGGAGUAACAUGUAGCUUGCAGAUAUGCCUAGACUACUUCAAAGUGAAUUAGAGUUGAUCUAAUCAUAAACCUGAGUAAUGCACUGCAAAUUUCUGGUUUGGAAUCUCUGACGCUCAGAGAAUAAGCAAAAUGCAUGCAACAAAGCCUCCAUCGUUAAACCUGAAAAAACAACAGUAUGUCAAGUUAUUCUUUUCAUUGGAAUCCUGGGUAAACAUAAUUCUUUCAAAAAGAUCGGAUGCAAAUGCCAAUAUCUUACAGAUUUGUAAUUUCAUAUUGUGAACUAGCACCGCAAUAAAAUAUUUACAUGUAAAUUGCGUAGUGUUUCUAAAUGCUUACCAAUUGGUAGCAUUAGCUAUUAUUGCAGUGUAAACCUCCUUCUAAAUGAAUGAAGCCAGGUGAUAUCUCGCACAAAUGUGAAGAACUUGUUGGAAUCAAUGCUUUUCUCUGAAGCUUUAGCCCUUACCAAAGACAAAAUCUUCGAUUAAUGACUCAAGUCCACAAAAACAAGUCUAGAAUUUCCAAGCUUAUUCCUAAAUUCUAUAACUUUUCUCAACAAUAUUAUCAGAUGCCUUUGCAAGGUCAAAUUGAAAAUCUGUUUUGAAAUGGAAUAAAAUGCCAGAGUGGAAGCAUCGUUUAGAGAACCGUCAUCGCCAACAGAGCCUACAACUAGCUCUUCACCUUCCUUUGACUCCUUA